rnacentral:rRNA from 1 species
UGGAAUACUCCGGGAAACCGGGGCUAAUGCCGGAUAAUAUUUAGAACCGCAUGGUUCUAAAGUGAAAGAUGGUUUUACUAUCACUUAUAGAUGGACCCGCGCCGUAUUAGCUAGUUGGUGGGGUAAUGGCUUACCAAGGCAACGAUACGUAGCCGACCUGAGAGGGUGAUCGGCCACACUGGAACUGAGACACGGUCCGGACUCCUACGGGAGGCAGCAGUAGGGAAUCUUCCGCAAUGGGCGAAAGCCUGACGGAGCAACGCCGCGUGAGUGAUGAAGGUCUUCGGAUCGUAAAACUCUGCUAUUAGGGAAGAACAAAUGUGUAAGUAACUGUGCACGUCUUGACGGUACCUAAUCAGAAAGCCACGGCUAACUACGUGCCAGCAGCCGCGGUAAUACGUAGGUGGCAAGCGUUAUCCGGAAUUAUUGGGCGUAAAGCGCGCGUAGGCGGUUUCUUAAGUCUGAUGUGAAAGCCCACGGCUCAACCGUGGAGGGUCAUUGGAAACUGGGAAACUUGAGUGCAGAAGAGGAAAGUGGAAUUCCAUGUGUAGCGGUGAAAUGCGCAGAGAUAUGGAGGAACACCAGUGGCGAAGGCGACUUUCUGGUCUGUAACUGACGCUGAUGUGCGAAAGCGUGGGGAUCAAACAGGAUUAGAUACCCUGGUAGUCCACGCCGUAAACGAUCAGUAAGAGUGUUAGGGGGUUUCCGCCCCUUAGUGCUGCAGCU